AAGGGUAUAGCUCAGUGGUAGAGUGUGUGCUUAGCAUGCGUGAGGUCCUGAGUUCAAUCCCCAGUACCUCCA
rnacentral:tRNA from 1 species